AGGAAGUAAAAGUCGUAACAAGGUUUCCGUAGGUGAACCUGCGGAAGGAUCAUUAUCGAAUUAUAAGCGAGGGUUGUAGCUGGCCUCCCUUUCGAGGCAUGUGCACGCCUGAGCUCUUAAAUCCACAACACACCUGUGAACCCACCGUAGGCCUUCGGGCUUAUGUAUCAUAUACUCUGAAUGUGUCAUAGAAUGUUCAUGUUGCCUUAAAACGCAAUCAAAUACAACUUUCAACAACGGAUCUCUUGGCUCUCGCAUCGAUGAAGAACGCAGCGAAAUGCGAUAAGUAAUGUGAAUUGCAGAUUUUCAGUGAAUCAUCGAAUCUUUGAACGCACCUUGCGCUCCUUGGUAUUCCGAGGAGCAUGCCUGUUUGAGUGUCAUUAAAUCCUCAACCCCACCGAUUUGCUUCGGGGGGAUUGGACUUGGAGCGUGCUGGCGAAGGUCGGCUCCUCUUUAAAUGCAUCAGCGGAGAAGAAAGCUCGUCCCAGUGUGAUAAUCCUGUUGCGCUGUGGUGGGGUGAAAAUUCCGCUUCCAACCGUCCUCCGGGACAAGACAUCUCAAUUUGACCUCAAAUCAGGUAGGACUACCCGCUGAACUUAAGCAUAUCA
rnacentral:rRNA from 1 species